AGACACAACGGCGACGACAGAACCAGCAGUUCACGGCCUUACUCAGUUGCCCAAUUCCGCAGAAGAACUGGACAGUGAGGACCUCUCAGAUUCCCGAGCAGGUGAAGAAGGCUCGAUCAGGGCAGUGGAUCAUGCCGUGAUCGGUGGCGUCGUGGCGGUGGUGGUGUUCGCCAUGCUGUGCUUGCUCAUCAUUCUGGGGCGCUAUUUUGCCAGACAUAAAGGCCUGUUUUCUCUAACCUCCUCUCCCAGAAUAAAGUGAUGAGGGCAGCUAUAGUGUUGCAAUUAGGAACAUGAAUCUUUUAUCGUUUGGACAAGGAAGGGAAAAUGCCAUUACUGUCAACUGAAAUGUCCUACUUGGGUUUUUUGCUCCUACUUCCCUGCCAAAGCCCAUUGCUGCUGCUGAAAUUGUAUAACAUUCACAGCUGUUCUUGAUGGCUUGAUUCUUAACACAGCCAGAAAUGUAGCCCGGGAGAUGCUUAAGACAGUUUAUGGAAAAUAAUAGAUUUCCUUGCAGAGACACCAAUGCAUCGAGAAGGGCCUUGAGUCACGUUAGCCCCAGCCAAGAUCACCAAUUUUCUCUCUAUCUGGCUUCAGUUACAAAGGCUAUGCCUUAAAAAAAAAAAAAAAAAA
rnacentral:lncRNA from 1 species